rnacentral:rRNA from 1 species
CCUACGGGGUGCACCAGUGGGGAAUAUUGCACAAUGGGCGCAAGCCUGAUGCAGCCAUGCCGCGUGUAUGAAGAAGGCCUUCGGGUCGUAAAGUACUUUCAGCGGGGAGGAAGGCGGUGAGGUUAAUAACCUCACCGAUUGACGUUACCCGCAGAAGAAGCACCGGCUAACACCGUGCCAGCAGCCGCGGUAAUACGGAGGGUGCAAGCGUUAAUCGGAAUUACUGGGCGUAAAGCGCACGCAGGCGGUCUGUCAAGUCGGAUGUGAAAUCCCCGGGCUCAACCUGGGAACUGCAUUCGAAACUGGCAGGCUAGAGUCUUCUAGAGGGGGGUAGAAUUCCAGGUGUAGCGGUGAAAUGCGUGGAGAUCUGGAGGAAUACCGGUGGCGAAGGCGGCCCCCAGGACAAAGACUGACGCUCAGGUGCGAAAGCGUGGGGAGCAAACAGGAUUAGAUACCCGAGUAGUC